rnacentral:rRNA from 1 species
UGUCAGAACGAACGCUGGCGGCGCGUUUAAGCAUGCAAGUCGAGCGGCAAGGGCCUUCGGGCCCCUAGAGCGGCGGACGGGUGAGUAACACGUGGACAAUCUGCCCCCCGGCCCGGGAUAGCCCAGGGAAACCUGGAUUAAUACCGGAUGAGACGGGACCCGCGAAGGCGGGACCCGGAAAGGCGCUGCGGCGCCGCCGGGGGAUGAGUCUGCGUCCCAUUAGCUAGACGGCGGGGUAACGGCCCACCGUGGCGACGAUGGGUAGCCGGCCUGAGAGGGUGGACGGCCACAUUGGAACUGAGACACGGUCCAGACUCCUACGGGAGGCAGCAGCUAAGAAUCUUCCGCAAUGGGCGAAAGCCUGACGGAGCGACGCCGCGUGAACGAAGAAGGCCGUGAGGUUGUAAAGUUCUUUUCGGGAGGGGGAACAACCGUGGCAGGGAAUGGCCGCGGGAUGACGUGAAUCCCGGAAUAAGCCCCGGCUAACUACGUGCCAGCAGCUGC